rnacentral:lncRNA from 1 species
GAUAUCUCUGACUUCAAUAGCAUGAGAAUGUAUGAACCAUGCAUUAAGCAUUAGUGGUAUGCACUAAUUUGUAGCAUAGUUAUAUAUCAUCAUAUAGUUUUUACAAAAGAUAAACAUUGACUAGAAAAUAUAUAUGUAGAAUUGUAUAAUGGUCUAACUAAAGCUAACAGAAGAAUAGUCGACUCUAAUUUACUCUAUCA